rnacentral:rRNA from 1 species
CAGCAGCCGCGGUAAUACCGGCGGCCCGAGUGGCGGUCACUAUUAUUGGGCUUAAAGCGUCCGUAGCCGGGUUGGGAAGUCCUCCGGGAAAUCUGGCCGCUUAACGGUCAGAAUGCCGGAGGAUACUCCCAGCCUAGGGAGCGGGAGAGGCCGGGGGUAUUCCCGGGGGAGGGGGGAAAUCCUAUAAUCCCGGGAGGACCAACUGUGGCGAAGGCGCUCGGCUGGAACGCGUCCGACGGUGAGGGACGAAGGCCAGGGGAGCAAACCGGAUUAGAUACCCGGGUAGUCCUGGCUGUAAACGAUGCGGACUUUGUGUCGGACAAGCUAUGAGCUUGUCCGGUGCCGGAGGGAAACCGUUAAGUCCGCCGCCUGGGGAGUACGGCCGCAAGGCUGAAACUUAAAGGAAUUGGCGGG